rnacentral:rRNA from 1 species
CCGCCGGCGGCCCAAUUAACUCUUGUAUUUACUGAGUAAAAUCUGAGUAAGCUUCUAAAUGAAUCAAAACUUUCAACAACGGAUCUCUUGGUUCUGGCAUCGAUGAAGAACGCAGCGAAAUGCGAUAAGUAAUGUGAAUUGCAGAAUUCAGUGAAUC